GUGGGCGGUCUGCGGCUUCGGACAUAUGUCUGAGGAAGUUCUGUCCAUGGGGCUGGGACCGUAGCUCCUCUGGAGCCUGGCGAAAGUCAGGGUAAAGCACAGAAACAACACGGCCACUACCCGAUGAGAAUGAGACAGCCCAUCUGUCGAUGAGCGUGGUGGAAGCGGUGAAAAGCUCCCUUACGGUCAUGCAAGACCAAAUGUUGCCAAUGAAUCCCCAGCCAGAGGCAGAGGUAGGUCGCUCAGUGGAAUGCCGCAGGUGAUCUCCAGAUCACAUACAGAAGACAGGCUAUAGACCGCCCAC
rnacentral:RNase_P_RNA from 1 species